UUUCUAAAUUUGUGUCUAUUUUUUAUUUUCGAAUAAUUUGAUCAGUUUUUUGAGAAUGAACAGAAAAAGACAUGGAUGACGACGAGCUCGAUGAUAAUCAACCAGAAGAAAGCAAAUACGUUGUAAUAAAAUGUGGACUUCAAACAAUCCUGCGACAACAACAUGAACGGAUUGAAAGAGUUGGAGAAGUUGUGACCAAAAUGCUAUUCGAGCGCAGUGUUCAAAUGACAGAAGUGGCAGCAUUGGCAUCACUUUCUAUUCUUUUUAUUUUGAAUGAAGCACUUGAUAAUGACGAUCGUGCAUUUUUUUUGCAACCACAUCCAAGCCUGUUCAUUGCCGAUUGUUUCAGAGCGGUAUUAAACCAACACGUUAACAAUAUUAAUAGUGAAUAUCGGAUAUUGCCCGAGUUUCGUUUCAUGGUAGAAAGAAACAGUGAAGAACAGUUCCGAUGGCCAGAUGAUGAAAAGUUGGGAAAUGGUUUGAGAUAUUUUUAUAAACAAUAUAUCACAAACAUUCAAACCAAUACCAACACAUGGUGUGAAAAACGACUUGAGAAUUUUUUUCGAAUGCGUUGUUGGUAUCGCAAUCGAUUCAACAAUGGCUCAAGAUUUGAUGGCAUCGACAUCAGAAAUGCCAAAGAGUUUUCAUAUCGAUUUAAGAAUUUAACAAAUGGUGAUAAUGGUAAUAAUGUGGAUCCACAACGCGUUGAAAAAUUCAAUAUUUUAAUGAGAGAUUUGACUGAAAUUGGAUGGUCGGGAACAGUGAGUAUGAAAUUUUUCGCAAAAUAUCGUUGGUUUGAAUCACUGUGGUUGUUCGGUCAAAUGCAACGGCAAAUAGAAGUGUAUCACAGUCAUGCCGAACAAUGGAAUACCAUUCAUGAAAUGUUUCGUAACAAUCCGAACUUUCAAGAGCCAACAAUCAAUCGACCACCAAAAAUAAGCAGUUUUGCUCUUAUACCAUUAUGCGACUACCAUUUGAAAAACGUGCGAUUGGACAUUACGGACUUGUAUAAUAAAAUUGUAAACGAACUUGAUUUGGUGCCUUCUUUUCUCAAUACGCGGACCAACCGGAUGAAUAAGAGAAAAGUAAAGUACUACACCCAAACUGAUCGAUCAGGUCUAUGGAAUAUGUUGUUCGAUGUCGGUAAAAUAAAUAAAUUGGGCAAAUCGAAACCAUUCAAUCAUCAGAUUUUGACCGAUAGUGUUUCAAUAUCCAUAAUGUACAAGAAACCACAGCGACAACAACGACCACAGCAAACAACCCAAGCGAAUCGGGGGCCGGAAAAACUCAUUGGCAAGAAAUACAUCAUUGGAAUCGAUCCGAAUGAAAAAUCGUGGUUAACUGUAGUACGUCGCAACAUUCAAAAAACACCUGAUGAGCCGGCUGUUGAGGUAAGAUAUUUUGAAAUGUAAUUUGAAAUGGUUUUGAAUAGAAACUCAUAGUUUUUUGUAUCAUUUUGCAUUUUGAAGGAAAACAUUAUAAUACCAAACCAGCGUUUUCAUUGGGAAACUCAGCAGAAAAAACGCGACAAAGAAGCGAAAAAGUUGGCUGGAUGGUUUGAUAUCGAAGAGAAGGAACAUCUCAAAACAUACCCAUAUCGUCCACCAUCACCACGUAAUUCAACACGGAAAUCAUACAUUGAAUAUCGCAUUAAAAUGUUACGAAAAGGAAUGGCAGCUUAUGCGACGCGUGAAUAUGCACGACUGGAUUUAGACCAUCACAUUCGCUCGACCAGAGUAAAUGAUCAAAUCGCCGUGCGUGUGACAAACAACAAACCGUCGUUGGUUCAAUUUGGUGCUUGGGCGAUGAAACCCGAUCGACCGUUUGGAAUAAAAAAGCGUAAAAGAUGUCCGGGAUCGCGUAAGUUUCGUGUGAGCAUUAAGAAACUUGGACAUUCAGAAGUUGAAAUGCAAGAUGAAUGGGGAACAUCACAAACAUGCGCGAAUUGUCAGGAACGUUUUCCAAGGCACACAAAAGAUGAUCGAUUUAAAGUGUGCUACGAUUGUAGAGCGAAAAAGAUUGAUGGCCUGCCAGAUUCAGUCGCUGGACUGCCAGAUAUCAUUGUGUCAACGGUCAACAGACGUGUUUUGAGAAGAAAACGUGCAAUUAUUAAGCGACAAAUUAUCGAUGGCAAUCGUGAGGCUGUGAACGAAAAACUUCGGACUGGGCGUUUAAUGUCAAAGGUUAAAGUUACCUACAAAAAUUGUCCAUUAAAUGUUGAUGAUGAUGAUGUUGUUCCACAAACAGUUACUUGGCACCGAGAUAUUGUUGCAGCAACAUGCAUUAUGCUCAAAGGACUUUGCCGGAUCUUUGAUGUACCAUUGCCAGUUUCAUUGUUAAGACCGCCGGACUAAAACAACAAUGUCAACUAACAAACAUCAUCAAUUAAUCAUACAUUCAAAAAAUUACAUAAAAUAAAAUAUUUUAACUAUUAUAGUUAGCGUAGCUAGACAUGAACAGACUAUAUAAAGUCUUGUGGUCUAGUUGUACAAUAGUACAACAUUGUACGGAGGGGGAGUGCCCGUAGGUGAGUAAAGUUUUUAAUUUAAAAAAAGUAUUUUAUACCCAGUUCAACUGAUACUAAUGGUUGUCUUUCCCUUUUUCCAUGUUUUCACACCUGAAUGUUCCACCAUGCCAAACCUAUGGAAAUGACUGAAACUACACACGAAUCUAACCCCGAAAACGACCGUCAAUAUGUGCUUCAUAAUGGAUGCAUUUGCCCUAUCAAUAUUUUUUAUUUAGAACCUUUUUUAUAUUUGGUUGGAAAUCAGCUUUUUCUCUAUUUUAUCAAAACACGUAAAAAAAACUAUUUGUUAAUUGUUCCCAAAGUUCAAAUGUCUGUUUGGAAAUCCAUAUUUUUCACUCUAUAAAAAUAAAUU